CGAACUGGAGCUGGCUGAUUUGUAUGGCGUAGGAGCCCCUGGCCAUAUCCAGUCUGGAUUCCCUGAGUGCUGUAUGGACAUGGACUGGGAACGAAUCAUCUUCAAGCUUUUGCGCCUGUAAAAUGAGAAACACAAUUAAGUCACUAUAAAGGGCCGACGCGUACACCUUUUCCGCCAGGAGUUGGGUCUCCUCCUCAGCCUGACUGAGAGUUACCUUGGGGAAUUGGCGAGGCAUAUCUGCACGUUACAAGAAGCCAGAGAAAAACCCUGACAUAUGCAGUCGGCCUGUUAAACUGCCGCUUCUCUUCUCUUACACCCCACCGACGCCUGAGCGGAGAGGGCACUCUGUGAUUAUGAUUGAAGUUGGGCUGAUGCUGUAAGGAUUCUGCUUCGAGCUACUGGGAGAACUUGAAGGAGUCUACUCAUGCCACUUGAAGGGUUCUUAUGUUUCCAUCCCCACCACGCCACCCCUAAAUAGAUUUUCUGUGUUUGUCUGUGCCCAGAUGGGGUGUUCAGGACCUGGCCAUUUUGUUGUUUUUUGUGGACUGUACACCCUUUGAGACACAAGGGCUCUAUAAAGACACUUUUAAAAUAAAACAAUUCUCCAGGUAUUCUGGCUUCCUCACAUAUUUCAAAAAUAUGCAUAGUACAUAAACAAGUUGCGCCCUACUAGUAUGAGCACUAGUACUUAUAGGGCACAGAGGCCAACGAGUACACAGUUAUUCCUCACUGGUAAAACUUCAUUGUCCUCAAAGUAUACC